UACGUAGGGUGCAAGCGUUGUCCGGAAUUAUUGGGCGUAAAGGGCUCGUAGGCGGUCCAUCACGUCGGGAGUGAAAAGCUGGGGCUUAACCCCAGUCCUGCUUCCGAUACGGGUGGACUAGAGGUAGGCAGGGGAGAACGGAAUUCCUGGUGUAGCGGUGAAAUGCGCAGAUAUCAGGAGGAACACCGGCGGCGAAGGCGGGUUGCUGGGCUGACACUGACGCUGAGGAGCGAAAGCGUGGGGAGCGAACAGG
rnacentral:rRNA from 1 species